rnacentral:misc_RNA from 1 species
AACGCACAUUGCGCCCAUUAGUAUUCUGAUGGGCAUGCCUGUUCGAGCGUCAUUUCAACCCUCAAGCCCUAGUUGCUUGGUGUUGGGUACCUGCGGGCCUCGCCCCGCAGGCCCUGAAAGUCAGUGGCGGGCGCGCCGCGACCCCGAGCGUAGUAGUUUAUCAUCUCGCUUAGGGCGUCCGGUGUUGUCUCUAGCCGUAAAACAGCUCUUCGGAGACCACUACAAGGUUGACCUCGGAUCAGGUAGGAAUACCCGCUGAACUUAA